GACGAACGCUGGCGGCGUGCCUAAUACAUGCAAGUUGAGCGCUGAAGGUUGGUACUUGUACCGACUGGAUGAGCAGCGAACGGGUGAGUAACGCGUGGGGAAUCUGCCUUUGAGCGGGGGACAACAUUUGGAAACGAAUGCUAAUACCGCAUAAAAACUUUAAACACAAGUUUUAAGUUUGAAAGAUGCAAUUGCAUCACUCAAAGAUGAUCCCGCGUUGUAUUAGCUAGUUGGUGAGGUAAAGGCUCACCAAGGCGAUGAUACAUAGCCGACCUGAGAGGGUGAUCGGCCACAUUGGGACUGAGACACGGCCCAAACUCCUACGGGAGGCAGCAGUAGGGAAUCUUCGGCAAUGGACGAAAGUCUGACCGAGCAACGCCGCGUGAGUGAAGAAGGUUGUCGGAUCGUAAAACUCUGUUGGUAGAGAAGAGCGUUGGUGAGAGUGGAAAGCUCAUCAAGUGACGGUAACUACCCAGAAAGGGACGGCUAACUACGUG
rnacentral:rRNA from 1 species